rnacentral:piRNA from 1 species
AUAUGUGAUGAUUCACCACAACUUGAACUC